AAGGAUUUAAGUUAAAUAAACUAUUAACCUUCAAAGUUAAAAAUAUUUUCGCAACAAAUUAAACCUUA
rnacentral:tRNA from 1 species